UAACAUUUGGAAACAGAUGCUAAUACCGCAUAACAAUUUGAAUCGCAUGAUUCAAAUUUAAAAGAUGGUUUCGGCUAUCACUUUGGGAUGGACCUGCGGCGCAUUAGCUUGUUGGUAGGGUAACGGCCUACCAAGGCUGUGAUGCGUAGCCGAGUUGAGAGACUGAUCGGCCACAAUGGAACUGAGACACGGUCCAUACUCCUACGGGAGGCAGCAGUAGGGAAUCUUCCACAAUGGGCGCAAGCCUGAUGGAGCAACACCGCGUGAGUGAAGAAGGGUUUCGGCUCGUAAAGCUCUGUUGUUAGAGAAGAACGUGCGUGAGAGCAACUGUUCACGCAGUGACGGUAUCUAACCAGAAAGUCACGGCUAACUACGUGCCAGCAGCCGCGGUAAUACGUAGGUGGCAAGCGUUAUCCGGAUUUAUUGGGCGUAAAGCGAGCGCAGGCGGUUUGAUAAGUCUGAUGUGAAAGCCUUGGCUUAACCAAAGAAGUGCAUCGGAAACUGUCAGACUUGAGUGCAGAAGAGGACAGUGGAACUCCAUGUGUAGCGGUGGAAUGCGUAGAUAUAUGGAAGAACACCAGUGGCGAAGGCGGCUGUCUGGUCUGCAACUGACGCUGAGGCUCGAAAGCAUGGGUAGCGAACAGGAUUAGAUACCCUGGUAGUCCAUGCCGU
rnacentral:rRNA from 1 species